GAUGAACGCUGGCGGCGUGCUUAACACAUGCCAGUGGAGCGGAAAGACGCUGCGUUUGCGGCGUUCUCGAGAGGCGAACAGGUGAGUAACACACGAGUAACCUGCACUUGUCUGUGGGAGAUCUUCAGGAGACUGCGGCGAAUACCGGAUAGGAGAUCUUGCAGCAUGUUGUGGAUUGGAAAGUUUCGGCUGUGGGGGAUGGACUCGCGGCUUACCCGCUUGUUGGUGUGGUAGUUGCUGACCCGGGCUAUGACGGGUAGCCGGCGUGGGAGGGUUACCGGCGACAUGGGGACUGAGAGACGGCCCAGACUCCAACGGGAGGCAGCAGUGGGGAAUAUUACACAGUGGGGGGACGCCUGAGGCAGCAACGCCGCGUGCGGGAUGCCGGCCUUCGGGUUGUAAACAGCUUUCGCCUGUGACGAAGAGUGAGUGACGGUAAUGGGUAAAGAAGCACCGGCUAACUACGUG
rnacentral:rRNA from 1 species